AUUGAACGCUGGCGGCAGGCCUAAACCAUGCAAGUCGCACGAGUGGCGGACGGGUGAGUAAUGUCUGGGAAACUGCCUGAUGGAGGGGGAUAACUACUGGAAACGGUAGAUAAUACCGCAUACCAUCGGAUGUGCCAAGAUGGGAUUAGCUAGUAGGUAGGGUAAAGGCUCACCUAGGCGACGAUCCCUAGCUGGUCAGAGAGGAUGACACGCCAAACUGGAACUGAGACACGGGCCAGACUCCUACGGAAGGCAGCAGUGGGGAAUAUUGCACAAUGGGCGCAAGCCUGAUGCAGCCAUGCCGUGUGUAUGAAGAAGGCCUUCGGGUUGUAAAUUACGUUCAGCGGGGAGGCGUUACCCGCAUAAGAAGCACCGGCUAACUCCGUGCCAGCAGCCGCGGUAAUUC
rnacentral:rRNA from 1 species